GUAGGAGAGAGAUGGAAGGCGUGGCUCCGGGAGCGCGAGGCUCAACGCUUGCUUCGCUUGUGGUUGCGGUUUGGCCUGAGUCGGGAGCCGUAGCUGGAGCCGCCGGGCGGAUGUUAUGUGAGGCGCCGAGGCGAAGGGAUCACCUGACUGUUCACUGAGAAAUGAAGAAUGACGUCAAAAGGGGCAGGCACAUCUUUCUCCCAAAAGAGUUACAGACUGGCCUCUGAUUCUGAGAAGCCCAAAGUCACAGGUAUUGUCAACGAAAAGUUACUGAAUGACUACCUACAGCGUAUCUUUCCCAGCCCAGACCAGAUCCCCUCCACCACAGCUACCAGAAAACCUCUGACUUUUCAGAACCUUCAGGAACAUCUGGACCAGCUGCUGAAGGAGGAGGAUGAGGCUGAAGAGAGUGAAGAACAGCCUGUAGAAGGGCGGCUUGGGCCAUCCACUGUGGUCCUGGAUCACACAAGCGGCUUCGAAGGGCUACUCCUGGUGGAUGAUGACCUUCUUGGUGUUAUUGGACACAGUAACUUUGGUUCCAUUCGGGCCACCACCUGUGUGUAUAAAGGGAAAUGGAUCUAUGAGGUGCUCAUCUCCUCCCAGGGGCUCAUGCAAAUCGGCUGGUGCACCCUCAAUUGCCGAUUCAACCAGGAGGAAGGAGUUGGAGACACACCUGACUCUUAUGCUUAUGAUGGUAACAGAGUGCGUAAGUGGAAUGUGACCACAACUAAUUAUGGCAAAUCAUGGGCAGCUGGAGACAUUGUGAGUUGCCUAAUUGACCUGGAUGAGGGAACCAUUGCUUUUUGUCUGAAUGGUGUCUCUCUGGGAACUGCUUUUGACAACAUCACCAGGGGCUCUGGAAUGGCCUAUUUUCCAGCUAUCAGCCUCUCUUUCAAAGAGUCUGUUGCAUUCAACUUUGGUAGCCGGCCACUGCGAUAUCCAAUGGAGGGUUAUCGACCCCUACAAGAUGCCCCUACGACUGGCCUGCUCAAGGCUCAUAAGCUUCUUGGUUACCUGAAGAAUGUCCUGCAGUUGGAGUUGGACCCAGUGGAAGGGAAGCUGGUGGAGAGGGAAAGUUCGACAUGGCAGCUUCGGGGAGAACCCACAGUGUUGAUCACCAUGGCCCACAUCUUCAACUACUUUGCGCCUCUCAUGUGCAAAGUGUACCUAGUGGAAGAUGUUCUCAUGAAGUUUCUCCUGAGCGUCCUGGAGAAAGAUGGGUCCGUGGAGUCUUGCCCCCUCAUCCAGCAGCUCCUGGAUCUUAUGUGGCUACUCAUGGAGGAUUAUGAGGUACAGGAGUGCCUCAAGCAGCUGAUGAUGUCGCUACUCCGUGCCUACAGAUUCUCCCCCAUCAUCCCAGACCUGAGCUUACAGAUGCACUACCUUCGUCUUACCAUUGCUAUCUUGAAGCAUGAGAAGUCCAGGAAGUUUCUGCUUAACAAUGUCCUCUUUGAUGUGCUUCGCUCUGUGGUUUUCUUCUACAUCAAGAGUCCAUUGCGAGUGGAGGAGGCCGGCCUUCAGGAGCUCAUCCCCACCACGUGGUGGCCCAAUCGCUUCAAUAAAGAGGGCAAGGAGACUAAGGAGGUGAAGGAAGAGAGUGCUGAGGAGCGGCUGAGACGGCGGGCAUAUGAGCGAGGUUGCCAAAGACUCAAGAAACGAAUUGAAGUGGUAGAAGAUCUCCAGGUUCAGAUCCUAAAGUUGCUGUUGAAUAAUCAAGACCAUAAUGGGGGUGAAGCUUCCAGGUACAUUUUCCUCAACAAGUUUCGAAAAUUCCUGCAAGAGAAUGCCAGCAGCCGAGGGAACCUAACUGUUCUCUGCCCGCCGGAGUACAUGGUGUGCUUUCUGCACCGGCUGAUCACAGCCUUGCGGCACUACUGGGAUGGAUACAAGGCUUCAAACCCAGCAGCAUCAUUCAGUGAAGAAGCCUACGUCCCCCCACAACUCUUCUAUAAUGGAAAGGUGGAUUACUUUGACCUGCAGCGACUAGGGGGCCUUCUGUCUCAUCUUAAGAAAACCCUCAAAGAUGACCUGGCAUCGAAGGCAAACAUCUUGAUCGACCCCUCAGAGCUGCAAGCCAUCACCAUGGAUGACCUUGAUGAGGAUGAUGAGUCAGCUGCAGCAACUGCACAGCGCCCUGUGGCUGCUCUAGCUAUUGGAGGGGCCCUGGCCAGGCCUAGUUGGCUUAGCUCCCCAACACUGAGCAGGGCCAACCGCUUCCUCAGCACAGCAGCCGUGAGCCUCAUGAACCCCCGCAGGCCCUUGGGCACCAUGGAAAAAGUGAAAAUCCGAACACUGAACGUGGAGCAGAGAACAGAGGAGGAUAUUGAAGGGAGCCAUGGGAAUGAAGGCCUAUUAUUGGGGAGGCCCCCAGAGGAACCAGAUCAGCCCCUUACGGAGAACUCUCUACUAGAGAUUCUGGAUGGGGUCAUCAUGAUGUACAACCUGAGUGUUCACCAGCAGCUGGGCAAGAUGGUGGGUGUUUCUGAUGACGUGAAUGAGUAUGCCCUGGCCUUGAAAGACACAGAGGAGAAGCUCAGCCGGUGUCCAAAGUGGAGGAGAGACAUUCAGGAAGAACUGAUGAAAAGUCAGAAGGUUUUCUCUGAGAAACUGAAUCAUUUGAGUCGCCGUCUUGCCUGGAUCAAUGUCACCAUCUACUCUAAGGAGAAGAUGCAGGAUAUUUACUGGCUCCUCCGGGUUUGUAUCCGCACCAUAGAGCAUGGGGACCGCACAGGCUCCCUCUUCGCCUUUAUGCCAGAAUUCUACCUAAGUGUCGCCAUGAACAGCUACAGCGCCCUUAAAAAUUACUUCAGCCCUGUCAAUAGCAUGGAGGAGCUGCCAGGUUACGAGGAGACCCUGACCCGCCUUGCUGCGAUUCUAGCCAAACACUUUGCAGACACAAGAAUUGUGGGCACAGACAUCCGAGAUUCACUGAUGCAAGCGCUGGCCAGUUACGUCUGUUAUCCCCACUCUCUGCGUGCUGUGGAGAGGAUACGUGAGGAGCAACGGAUCACCAUGAUGAAGAACCUCCUUGCUCCUUACGAGCAGCGUCCCUGGGCACAGACAAAUUGGAUCCUUGUGCGGCUGUGGCGGGGCUGUGGAUUUGGAUAUCGCUACACUCGGCUGCCUCAUCUGCUGAAAACAAAGCCCGAGGAUGCCAACCUCCCCAGCCUGCAGAAGCCCUGCCCCUCUACCUUACUGCAGGGCCACAUGGCUGACCUGCUACGGAGUGACCGUGACAUGGCCCCUAGCUUCCUCAACAGUGUCCUUAACCAGCUCAACUGGGCCUUCUCUGAGUUCAUUGGCAUGAUCCAGGAGAUUCAGCAAGCAGCCGAGCGCCUGGAAAGGAACUUUGUGGACAGUCGUCAGCUGAAGGUGUGCGCCACCUGCUUUGACCUGUCAGUGAGCCUGCUGCGGGUGCUGGAGAUGACUGUCACCCUGGCCCCUGAGAUCUUCCUGGACUGGAAUCGGCCCUCCUCUGAGCUGCUGCUCCGGCGGCUGGCACAGCUACUAAACCAGGUCCUGAACCGUGUGACAGCAGAGAGAAACUUGUUUGACCGCGUGGUUAAUCUCCGGCUGCCGGGCUUGGAGAGUGUGGACCACUACCCAAUUCUUGUGGCUGUGACUGGCAUUCUAGUCCGUCUCCUAGUGGACAGUGAUGUGGAGGGGGCCACACGAGCCACCGAAGUGCUCUUAGCAGACCCAUGCUUCCAGCUCCGCUCCAUCCAGUACCUCCUGGGCCAGCCAGAACCCGUGGCCCCUGGGGCCACACCACCCCCUCCCGAGAGGAAGCACUUCUCCCUGCAGAGCUACACUGAUUACAUCAGCCGGGAGGAAUUAGCUAAAGUGGAUCAGAUGUUGGGCCAUCUGAGUGAGGAGUCCAAGCAGGCAGCCGCCUCUACCCUGCCCACCAGUGAAGAGGACCUGUGCCCCAUCUGUUAUGCCCACCCCAUCUCUGCUGUGUUCCAGCCCUGUGGCCACAAGUCUUGCAAAGCCUGCAUCAACCAGCAUCUGAUGAACAACAAAGACUGUUUCUUCUGCAAAGCAACAAUCACUGGGGUGGAUGACUACGAGAAGCCAGCUUCCUCAUCUUAGGCCCCCUAUCUCAGGGUGGGGGCCCUCAACCUGCUCCUUGGGCUCCAGGGGUCCUGCUGUUCACCCAUUCCCUAUCACAUCCCUUGCUCACCCACUGGCCCACACGGGAGCUCCAGCCCACAAUGCAGGAAUCGAGCCAUGAGUGAGAACGGAUAUGGGCGCCUCGCAGCACUGUGCAUCGCUUGAUACACACGCCAUCCUCUACCACCACACCAGGGCCCAGGCUGACGUUGGGCCCGAUGCUACAGUUCUGGCCGAUCCUAGCGCUUGGAUCCUGGGGGGAGGAGAAGCAUGCACAGGGCUGAUUUAAAGGUUCAAGGGCUCCUCCCUGCAAGGUUACCUCCCUGGAGUCUGAAAAACCUACUAUUAGGAAUUAAUUCAACAAACAUUUAUUAAAUGCCUACUGUGCUCCGCUUUUGGGAUACAGUGAUGAAAAAUUGAAGGUCCCUGCCCUCGAGCAGCUUGUACAAUCUACUGGGCACCAGGAUGGCCUGGGUGAAUGUCCAGAGGUAGGAAAUGAGGAGGGGGACAGCUAGGAGUCUUGUCUGGCUGGAAAACAAAAUGCAUGAAGUGAAAGCCACAUACACUAAAACCAGUGUGGCAGGCUGCAGCUACACUGUGGGAGCCUUGAAUGCCAAGCUAAUGAAUUUGUACUUAGCCACUGAAAGUCGGUCAGACCUGCGCAUAAGCCAUGCAAUAGGUUCAUACAAUAGAGUGGAGAAUGGAGAGGCAAGAGGAAGGGAAACCAACUGGGACACAGAUCAUCCCAGUAGUGGAGGUGAUGAGGCCCUGGACCACAGGGGUAGUAGUAUAGAAGCAGCAAGGAGCAAAGAUUGUGGAGGCAGAAUCAUCAGAAUGCCCAGGAGUUCAAUAAUAAAAUACAUUAAGCCUUACUGAUCAUUUAUACCUAA